UACGGAAGGGGGCUAGCGUUGCUCGGAAUUACUGGGCGUAAAGCGCACGUAGGCGGUCUUUUAAGUCGGGGGUGAAAUCCUGGAGCUCAACCCCAGAACUGCCUUCGAUACUGGAAGACUCGAGUCCGGGAGAGGUGAGUGGAACUGCGAGUGUAGAGGUGAAAUUCGUAGAUAUUCGCAAGAACACCAGUGGCGAAGGCGGCUCACUGGCCCGGUACUGACGCUGAGGUGCGAAAGCGUGGGGAGCAAACAGGG
rnacentral:rRNA from 1 species